rnacentral:rRNA from 1 species
UACGUAGGAGGCGAGCGUUGUCCGGAUUUACUGGGCGUAAAGAGCGCGCAGGUGGCAUGUCAAGUACUCAGUGAAAUCUCCUUGCUCAACGGGGAGGGUGCUGAGUAGACUGGCAAGCUAGAGGACGGUAGAGGGGGGUAGAAUUGCUGGUGUAGCGGUGAAAUGCGUAGAGAUCAGCAGGAAUACCCGUGGCGAAGGCGGCCCCCUGGGCCGUACCUGACGCUGAGGCGCGAAGGCUAGGGGAGCGAACGGG